rnacentral:sRNA from 1 species
UUUCCAUUCAGUAGUCCCGGACGAAUUUAAAACAUAACGUACGGUUUGGACAUAAUGGAGAAAUAGAACAUUACUCUUUUUGCAGCGAAGCUGAAAACUAUUUUCGUUUUGCUAGCCAUAAGUGUAAAACAAUU